CAUGCGUCGGUUGGUUAAACAUUCACUUAAUAAAAUCAUGAUUAUCCAUUAUUAAAAAACACUCUUAUCUUAUCAUCAGCGCAGUGAUGCCUUGUUGAACUAAAUCAGGUUAUUUUAUUCUCUGCGCAAAACAAAGUAAUUUCCCAUCGCAGAAGCCAUCAACAAGCGAGUAGUUUACAAAGUUCAAAAAAUUGACAUACAACAUUACAGUAAAUACACAAAGUUAAUAAUUAUAUCUAAAAUAUUGCAAUAUUUAAGAUUAUUUUGUGAUAUACCAAUGUGAUUGAUAAAGUUAUCACAAAUGCUUAAUUACUUAAAACUUAAUUAAUUUGUUAAUAAUUAAAAAUAUGAAGAUUCCGGUCAACGAAAAUGUUCUGCAAGCAUUGCUAAUUGCACUUAAUUUUAUUUUUGCUUUAUUGAGUGCUUCUCUUGUUGGCCUGGGCAUUGUAUACAUUGACGACCUUUCCCUGAUAGAAAUCUACGUGACUAAAGUUAGUUUCUUAAAGUUACCAAUCGUUCUGAUCAUUUUAGGAGCCCUAAGUUUCAUUUCUUCAAUGGUCGGCUGUUGUAUUGUACGCAACUGUAAUGUGACAUUCCUCCGAAUUUAUUUAAUAUUUCUGGGUUUACUUCUGAUUGCUGAGUUAACAAUCGGCUGCAUGGCGUUUAUGAAUGGUACUGAGCCUUCCACUACGAGCACGCGCAUGAAAAUGACACAAUUGUUAGACCAUGACGCAAAAACGCGUGACCGUUUUUAUAUUCUGGAACAGCAUCGAUUAUCGUAGAUCUACAAGUACAAACACACAACACUCAAUCCCCAAAACAGAAUAUCAAGCUGUGUAAACACGGAGAUAUCAACAUUCAACAUUGCCAUAUUUUUAUAUACAGAUAAACAAUUUAAACACAUAAUGCGUUUAGUUGCUGUGGAAUUAACAGCGUCAACGAUUAUAAAGACGACGCAUUGGUUUUACACAAUGAAACUCUGUGUCAUCGCAUUUUUUAUAGUCCCAGCAUGCAGGAGCUGAACGGAUGCGCGGUCACAGUAGUGCUCAACAUAAAACGCAUCUCGUUUGAAAUUGGAGGCUGUAUGAUUGUAUAUUCAUUUCUACAGAUUAUCGAUAUCGCAUGUUUGGUUAUGAUACUGAUGCAGAUGUGAAUUGAACAUCUAAUGGUAUAAUGGAACAUUUAAUAAGUAUAAAUAUACAUACAUAUUAUGCAAUGUUUAAUUUUUAUGAUUGAAGAAGAAAAAUGUAGGAAAACGAUGAAAUAAAGUUACGAAUUCUCAGAGAAAUUAAAAUUUGCGUGCGCGCCAUCUGGUGGACAUACAGUAAGCAUCGUCAGUAACUAAAUUACGAAAAUAUAAUUCAACUAGUUGUUGCCCGCGACUUCGUUCCGGCAGUGUUUAAUAAAAAUGUAAUUCGUUUUUA